rnacentral:rRNA from 2 species
GGACGAACAGCGGCGGGCGUGUCUUAUACAUGCAAGUCGAACGAACUCUGGUAUUGAUUGGUGCUUGCAUCAUGAUUUACAUUUGAGUGAGUGGCGAACUGGUGAGUAACACGUGGGAAACCUGCCCAGAAGCGGGGGAUAACACCUGGAAACAGAUGCUAAUACCGCAUAACAACUUGGACCGCAUGGUCCGAGUUUGAAAGAUGGCUUCGGCUAUCACUUUUGGAUGGUCCCGCGGCGUAUUAGCUAGAUGGUGRGGUAACGGCUCACCAUGGCAAUGAUACGUAGCCGACCUGAGAGGGUAAUCGGCCACAUUGGGACUGAGACACGGCCCAAACUCCUACGGGAGGCAGCAGUAGGGAAUCUUCCACAAUGGACGAAAGUCUGAUGGAGCAACGCCGCGUGAGUGAAGAAGGGUUUCGGCUCGUAAAACUCUGUUGUUAAAGAAGAACAUAUCUGAGAGUAACUGUUCAGGUAUUGACGGUAUUUAACCAGAAAGCCACGGCUAACUACGUGCCAGCAGCCGCGGUAAUACGUAGGUGGCAAGCGUUGUCCGGAUUUAUUGGGCGUAAAGCGAGCGCAGGCGGUUUUUUAAGUCUGAUGUGAAAGCCUUCGGCUCAACCGAAGAAGUGCAUCGGAAACUGGGAAACUUGAGUGCAGAAGAGGACAGUGGAACUCCAUGUGUAGCGGUGAAAUGCGUAGAUAUAUGGAAGAACACCAGUGGCGAAGGCGGCUGUCUGGUCUGUAACUGACGCUGAGGCUCGAGAGUAUGGGUAGCAAACA